CGUUAAUAGCGUUAGUGUUUGACGUUAGCGACAGAAGAAGCACCGGCUAACUCCGUGCCAGCAGCCGCGGUAAUACGGAGGGUGCGAGCGUUAAUCGGAAUUACUGGGCGUAAAGCGCAUGCAGGUGGUUUGUUAAGUCAGAUGUGAAAGCCCGGGGCUCAACCUCGGAACCGCAUUUGAAACUGGCAGGCUAGAGUACUGUAGAGGGGGGUAGAAUUUCAGGUGUAGCGGUGAAAUGCGUAGAGAUCUGAAGGAAUACCGGUGGCGAAGGCGGCCCCCUGGACAGAUACUGACACUCAGAUGCGAAAGCGUGGGGAGCAAACAGGAUUAGAUACCCUGGUAGUCCACGCCGUAAACGAUGUCUACUUGGAGGUUGUGGCCUUGAGCCGUGGCUUUCGGAGCUAACGCGUUAAGUAGACCGCCUGGGGAGUACGGUCGCAAGAUUAAAACUCAAAUGAAUUGACGGGGGCCCGCACAAGCGGUGGAGCAUGUGGUUUAAUUCGAUGCAACGCGAAGAACCUUACCUACUCUUGACAUCCAGAGAACUU
rnacentral:rRNA from 1 species